GAUGAACGCUGGCGGCGUGCCUAAUACAUGCAAGUCGAGCGAACAGACGAGGAGCUUGCUCCUCUGACGUUAGCGGCGGACGGGUGAGUAACACGUGGAUAACCUACCUAUAAGACUGGGAUAACUUCGGGAAACCGGAGCUAAUACCGGAUAAUAUAUUGAACCGCAUGGUUCAAUAGUGAAAGACGGUUUUGCUGUCACUUAUAGAUGGAUCCGCGCCGCAUUAGCUGGUUGGUAAGGUAACGGCUUACCAAGGGAACCAUGCGUAGCCGACCUGAGUGGGGGAUAGGCCACACUGGAACUGAGACAGCGUCCAGACUACUACGGGAGGCAGCAGUAGGGAACCUGCCGCAAUGGGCGAAAGCCUGACGGAGCAACGCCACGUGAGUGAUGGAGGUCUUCGGAUCGUAAAACUCUGUUAUGAGGGAAGAACAAAUGUGUAAGUAAAUAUGCACGUAUUGACGGUACCUAAUAAGAAAGCCACGGCUAACUACGUG
rnacentral:rRNA from 1 species